GAUGAACGCUAGCGGCAGGCUUAAUACAUGCAAGUCGAGGGGCAGCAUGAUUGUAGCAAUACAAUUGAUGGCGACCGGCAAACGGGUGCGGAACACGUACACAACCUCCCAAUAAGUGGGGAAUAGCCCAGAGAAAUUUGGAUUAAUACCCCGUAACAUAACGAUGUGGCAUCACAUUGUUAUUAUAGAUUUUUCGCUUAUUGAUGGGUGUGCGGCUGAUUAGAUAGUUGGCGGGGUAACGGCCCACCAAGUCCACGAUCAGUAGCUGCUGUGAGAGCAUGCCCACCCACACCGGCACUGAGAUACGGGCCCGGCUCCUACGGGAGGGAGCAUUAAGGAAUAUUGGACAAUGGACGCAAGUCUGAUCCAGCCAUGCCGCGUGAAGGAUUAAGUUCCUCUGGAUUGUAAACUUCUUUUAUAAGGGACGAAAAAAGGCUUUUCUAAGUCGUCUGACGGUACCUUAUGAAUAAGCACCGGCUAACUCCGUGCCAGCAGCCGCCGUAAAAC
rnacentral:rRNA from 1 species